GGUCCCGUGGUGUAGCGGUUAGCACUCAGGACUCUGAAUCCUGCGACGGGAAUUCAAAUCUCCCCGGGACCU
rnacentral:tRNA from 1 species